GUGAAUGAGUGUGUGUGUAUGUAUGUGUGUCAUAGAAAUAACAGAUUGAUCAACUGUGGUUUGACUAUGACAAAAUGGAGAAAAGAUGUGUUCGCAAUCCACGCCAUGAACGAAUGCCAUGGCAUUAAGCUACAUUCACACUUUGGCUCCCAUGUUUCCAUCCACAAGGAUAUGGCUUUCAUGGAGUGUUGUUGUCGUACUCGUUGUCUUAUUGCACCCAAAGUGGAGACGAUGCAUCUUUGAAUUGUGGAAUUUUUUUGUAUCCAC
rnacentral:lncRNA from 1 species